rnacentral:rRNA from 2 species
AAAUUGAAGAGUUUGAUCAUGGCUCAGAUUGAACGCUGGCGGCAGGCCUAACACAUGCAAGUCGAACGGUAACAGGAAGCAGCUUGCUGCUUCGCUGACGAGUGGCGGACGGGUGAGUAAUGUCUGGGAAACUGCCUGAUGGAGGGGGAUAACUACUGGAAACGGUAGCUAAUACCGCAUAACGUCGCAAGACCAAAGAGGGGGACCUUCGGGCCUCUUGCCAUCGGAUGUGCCCAGAUGGGAUUAGCUUGUU